rnacentral:RNase_P_RNA from 2 species
CUAGUUGGUUGAAUGAUAGCUUUUAACUCAUGUUAAAAGAGGAAAGUCUGGGCUCCAUAGGAGAAAGUACCAGGUAAUACCUGGCAAGAGUAAUCUUAGGGAUAGUGCCACAGAAAAUAAACCGCCUAAUCAAGGCAAGGGUGAAAAGGUGAGGUAAGAGCUUACCGGUUUUUUAGUAAUAGAAAACGCAUGGAAAACCCUACUUGGAGCAAGACCAAAUAGGAGUAGCGCGAUUAACUUUGUUAAUCAAAUUUCCUAAAUGAGCUACUCGGGUUGGUUGCUUGAGCUGUUUGGUGACAAACAGUCUAGAUAAAUUAUCAUUUUAAAUGACAAAACCCAGCUUACAGAUCAACUAGCAAA